rnacentral:lncRNA from 1 species
CCUGGCCUCUGAUGUUAUCCAUGCCCAAUCCAGGGACCUGCCACGCAUCUUUAGGGUGACAACCUCCCAGCUGGCAGUGCCGCCCACCACGUGCACUGUGCUGCUGCUGGCAGAGAGCGAGGGGGAGCGGGAACGCUGGCUGCAGGUGCUGGGUGAGCUGCAGCGGCUGCUGCUGGACGCGCGGCCAAGACCCCGGCCCGUGUACACACUCAAGGAGGCUUACGACAACGGGCUGCCGCUGCUGCCUCACACGCUCUGCGCUGCCAUCCUCGCUCAAGAUGAUGGGCCUCACCCCAACCCCUCUGGAAAAGCCUGUCCAGACUGGGAGAGAAGGGUCAG